rnacentral:rRNA from 1 species
CCCUUAGAUGUUCUGGGCCGCACGCGCGCUACACUGACGAAUGCAACGAGCUUAUAACCUUGGCCGAAAGGUCUGGGUAAUCUCCAAAUUUCGUCGUGAUGGGGAUAGAUUAUUGCAAUUAUUAAUCUUCAACGAGGAAUGCCUAGUAAGCGCAAGUCAUCAGCUUGCGUUGAUUACGUCCCUGCCCUUUGUACACACCGCCCGUCGCUCCUACCGAUUGAAUGGUCCGGUGAAGCGUUCGGACCGUGGCCUUUGGACGGUUCGCCAUUGGAUUACCGUGGGAAAUUCGUUAAACCUUAUCAUUUAGAGGAAGGAGAAGUCGUAACA